GUGCCAGCCGCCGCGGUAAUACGAAGGGGACUAGCGUUGUUCGGAAUUACUGGGCGUAAAGCGCACGUAGGCGGAUUUGUAAGUCAGGAGUGAAAUCCCGGGGCUCAACCUCGGAACUGCCUUUGAUACUGCAAGUCUCGAGUCCGAUAGAGGUGGGUGGAAUUCCUAGUGUAGAGGUGAAAUUCGUAGAUAUUAGGAAGAACACCGGUGGCGAAGGCGGCCCACUGGAUCGGUACUGACGCUGAGGUGCGAAAGCGUGGGGAGCAAACAGGAUUAGAUACCCGUGUAGUCC
rnacentral:rRNA from 1 species